ACCAUCUCCGUCUCUCUCCCCACCCGCUUCCUCCUCACGGACGUCAGCUGCUCCCACUAUAAGCCACUACACAGGGAAACACUGUGCGGCCAGUAACCGCCGUUUCUGAUACACAGCACCAUCCCACUGCGGCCAUUCUUCACCCCCCGGAACUGACACUGCACAGCGGCCAUUCCUCCCCCUCCGUUCCCCCGGACCGCAGACACUACAGAGCGGCCAGGGGACGGACAGUACAGAGUUCCUCUCUCAUCCCUCCCGCGGACCGGACACGACACUACAGUCUCUCCACCCGGACCGGACACAGAUCACAAUAUACUCACGUAUUCGGCUUGGAAUGCUGCUGUGCUGUUCCCUCUUCUUCAGCCUCCGCGCACUGAGGUGCUAACCUUGGAAUGAGUAUAUCGCAACAUUUCUAUAACUGAAACAAUGGACACACAGAAACCUCUUGGUGGGAAUGCAUGAAAAUGUGAAGUGGUCUUGUGAAGUAGUAAAAAUCAUGGAGCUGCAGGGACAGACACAGUGCAGAAGACGAUGUUGUAUCUGGACACACACAAUUUCUUAUAUAUAAACUCGGAAUCAAGGCUCCAAGAAGAGGACCCCAAUUACAUCCUUUUUUCAGCCCUGACGAAGCUGUCAGAGUAACGGCAGAACACGCGUGUGGGCAGCGUGUGUCCGCGUGGCUCCAUGUCUUUAUAUUAAGAUAAAUGUCUAGUCAGUUCUAACUUAUACUAUGUGCAGUGUUGGUUAAUAGUAAUAGUGUAAAACAGCUGGUAGAUGAGAUUCAAUCACAGAGAACUGCAGAUUCAUUCAAUAGAUAAGUGACUCAGGGGCAGAUGUAUU